ACCAAAAUCAGAGGCGGCUCCUCUACUGUUCUUCUUCUUCAGUGAACUCGCCUCAACUCGCAUGAGUUUUGAGCGAGUUCACUCAUUGGUCCCCCCCCCUCCACGUCACCUCAUCCUCAACGGAUUUGUCAGAGGAGUACGAUAUUCUCUCAAAAUGCACGAUUUCGGAUUCAAAAGGACAAUUGUUGGACGAAUAGGAGCCGUGGAUAGAUGUGAAUCAAUCCACUCCCUCUAUUUGUCCCGAAAUUGUUCAAUAAAUCUGAAGAUUUUCGAAUUCUAGGCAGAAGUUUCGAGAUAUUUUUGAGGUUUAUAUAUAAGGUAAGUUCUUUUCUUGUUAAGGAGAGGAAAAUAUUUUCAGAAAAAGGGUAGAGUAAAAUUUCUAGGGUUCUUGAGCUUUUUUUCUUUUAUUUCUCAAGCUUUGGUCCGCUUUUCUUCAGAAAACGAAAAAAAAUAAAAAAUGGUCUAAGUUUGUGUUCUUCGUUCAAGUUUUAUUUCCAAAGAAACCAGAAGAUUCUACGACUUUUGUUGCUGUCCUGUUACUGUGAAGCUUCAUCUUAAGUUUUCUUCUUCUUUAAACUUUGUUGAGGAAAGGAAGAGGAACUCGCCGGAUUUCGGAUCCUACAAUUAUAGUUAUUUUCUGCGUUUUGCUCAUAUAUCCGAGAUCUUUUUGUUCAAACAGAUUCGGGGCAUUUGGAGGUCGAAUCGAGAUGCAAGGGCAUCGCGGCUAGAGUUUGGCUUUGCUUGAGAUCCAGGAAUCUCAGGCCACGAUAGCGGUUAUUGAUUAUUUCAGUCAUGGGCUUUCAUUGGAGAUAGCGAAGUAGCUUCCUAGUGAUCGCAGUCCCGCCUUUCUCCUUCCUUAUCUUCCUCUUAGUGUAUUUGUUGGCUAUUAUCAGACUAUGUUAGUCUUGUUUUAUUUUGAGCAGUUGCAGUAUUUUGCUUAUGACUUAGUGGCACCCGAGGUCGAGCUUGUAAUCUUUUGCUUCGUUUGAUUUUUACUUUAUAUCUUUCAUUGGAUUUCAG